CAUGUUCGAGAAGAUCCCGCGGGCAUCAGAUCAUCCAUGGCGGCCUAGGAGGAGCACCACUGGCUCAGGUUUCUCCAAUCUGGCUGUGUGAAGGGAACUAGAAAGGCCGAUCUACUGCUGCUGCUCUGCCCCCCUUGAACAAUCUGGUGAAGGACAGGUUGAUCCAUGGAAUUUUGAGCAGAUUCUUUAGCUGUUAUUUUGGUCGUGUGCUUUCAGCGGUUGGUUUGGUCAUGUGCUAGAGCCUAAUUAGCUAUAGGAACAAUUUAUACUUUACUUAAAGAUGUUACUUUGUGUUGUAGAAAAUUUUAUUUAUGUCUACUGUUUUGUCCAGAUUAGAAAUAUGUGUGAUGUGUGCUUUCAAAAACUAAUGCUAUAUGUAGGCUUAAGAAAUUGAGCAAGGGAAACCAUUAUAUCCCCUUCCUUGUUUUAUAAGCUAAAAUUAUGUCGGA